rnacentral:rRNA from 1 species
UACGUAGGGCGCAAGCGUUGUCCGGAAUUAUUGGGCGUAAAGAGCUCGUAGGCGGCUUGUCACGUCGGGUGUGAAAGCCCGGGGCUUAACCCCGGGUCUGCAUUCGAUACGGGCUAGCUAGAGUGUGGUAGGGGAGAUCGGAAUUCCUGGUGUAGCGGUGAAAUGCGCAGAUAUCAGGAGGAACACCUGCGGCGAAGGCGGGUUGCUGGGCCGACACUGACGCUGAGGCGCGAAAGCUAGGGGAGCGAACGGG